UACGAAGGGUGCAAACGUUGCUCGGAAUCAUUGGGCGUAAAGCGCACGUAGGCGGCUUGCCAAGUCGGACGUGAAAUCCCUCAGCUCAACUGAGGACGUGCAUCCGAAACUGGCGAGCUUGAGUGCUGAAGAGGAUCGCGGAAUUCCCGGUGUAGAGGUGAAAUUCGUAGAUAUCUGGAGGAAUACCGGUGGCGAAGGCGGCAUCCUGGACCGGCAUUGACGCUGAGGAGCGAAAGCUAGGGGAGCAAACGGG
rnacentral:rRNA from 1 species